rnacentral:rRNA from 1 species
UUAAAUUGAAGAGUUUGAUCAUGGCUCAGAUUGAACGCUGGCGGCAGGCCUAACACAUGCAAGUCGAACGGUAACAGGAAACAGCUUGCUGUUUCGCUGACGAGUGGCGGACGGGUGA